rfam:Gossypium hirsutum cultivar TM-1 unplaced genomic scaffold scaffold1036.1, whole genome shotgun sequence
AACCCAUGAUAAGGACACCGUCUUAAUAAGUUCUUAUGCUUCUCCCAUGCAUCAUAUAAAGUCUCUAAUUCAAUCUAAACAAAGGAGGAGAUGUCAUUCCUCAACUU